UGGGGAAUAUUGGGCAAUGGAGGCAACUCUGACCCAGCAACGCCGCGUGAGCGAAGAAGGUCUUCGGAUUGUAAAGCUCUGUUUCGAGGGACGAAAACAAUGACGGUACCUCGGGAGGAAGCCCCGGCUAACUACGUGCCAGCAGCCGCGGUAAUACGUAGGGGGCAAGCGUUGUCCGGAAUGACUGGGCGUAAAGGGUGCGUAGGUGGUUAUAUAAGUCAGUAGUGAAAUUCCGAGGCUCAACUUCGGCGCUACUACUGAUACUGUAUAGCUAGAGUGCAGGAGAGGCAAAUGGAAUUCCUAGUGUAGCGGUGGAAUGCGUAGAUAUUAGGAGGAACACCAGUGGCGAAGGCGAUUUGCUGGACUGUAACUGACACUGAGGCACGAAAGCGUGGGGAGCAAACA
rnacentral:rRNA from 1 species